rnacentral:misc_RNA from 1 species
UCCGGUUUGUCACCGGCAGUCCCAUUAGAGUGCUCAACUGAAUGUAGCAACUAAUGACAAGGGUUGCGCUCGUUGCGGGACUUAACCCAACAUCUCACGACACGAGCUGACGGCAGCCAUGCAGCACCUGUGCACGAGCUCCGAAGAGGGGUCGCUGUUUCCAGAGGCUUUCACUUGCAUGUCAAACCUAGGUAAGGUUCUUCGCGUUGCUUCGAAUUAAACCACAUGCUCCACCGCUUGUGCGGGCCCCCGUCAAUUCCUUUGAGUUUCAGCCUUGCGGCCGUACUCCCCAGGCGGGGCACUUAUCGCGUUAGCUGCGGCACCGAAGGGGUCGCUCCCCCCGGCACCUAGUGCCCAUCGUUUACGGCGUGGACUAC